UGCCGGCGGUGGAGCGGGAGGUGGUGGAGGAGGUGAUGCCGGUGCCAAUGGGCAGGCCGGUUUUGGUUUUGGAGCGAACGGCGGUGGUAGCGGAAGCGCCGGCGCCGGUGCCGGUGGAAAGUGAUAUUGUAUGAGCAAAUCAUGAGAUACGAAGAACACUUCCGAUGUCAGUAGUUUCCUAAUUCGUUUUUAUAAUUUCUGAAAUCAUUGUACUACUAUAAAUAUAUAGAAAAUGGUAAUCAUUCCUAAUAGACAAUAUUAAAUAAAUUGUACCAA